CCUUUAGCAACCAUGGAAACAGCAAGGUUGUAGUAGUCCAUGUACAUGGAGGCCUGCUACAGCACCCCAACACACGCAUUCAAAUCUAAAAUUCCCAUUGCUUUUAUCAGCUCCAGGAGACCUAACACAUCCUUCAAGCCUCCUUUGGAACCAACACACAGAUCAAGAUGCAGAACUCUCAGCUACCUCUCUAGUACCAUACCUGCCUGCAUAACAGCAUGCUUCCCACCAUGAAGAUAACGGACUCAAUCUCUGAAAGUGUCAACCAGCCCUAAUUAAAUGUUUUGCUUCAUAAGACUUUCUUUGGUCAUGUUGCCUCUUCCCAGCAAUAGAAAUCACAAUGAAGACACAUACAGAAGAUAUCUUCAAUUAAUGCUGUCAUGACUCCCACAAAAAUCUUAGUCUCCAUUUUGCAAAUCACUUUGACAUCUGCAACAGAUCUGCAACCCCAGACAGAUGCUGGUAGAUUGUCGAAAUGUCAAGCUUGUAGUCCCCUUUGCAUUGGUAAGUCAAGAGCUGAUAUUUUUCUAAGGGGAGUUAACGAAACUGUGAGUACAUGUUAUACAACCUUUAUAUGGAUUUUCUGUUACUUUCUACCAUAAUCAGAAAAUAGAAAAUUAACUCAUCUUUAUGUGGAGGAUGGGAAAUAUAAUACAUUUACAAAGGUAUGAGUGAUGGAGAAAACAAUACAUGUAGUUUGUGACAAACUUCAGUAUAAGAAUCAAGAUGGAGGGCAUUAGGAUUCUAAGGAACGUGUUACCUGCAACUACCAAGCACUGCAAAUGAUGGAGUUACAGAUCAGCAACAUUGGGUGAUCAUGUGGCCAGAAUCACCCACUUGGAAAUGGGUUCUGUCAUAUUCAGUGACUUAGACCCUGCAGUGAUCAGUCAUAGGACAGAGUGUCUUGGGUCCACACUAGUGUACUCUCAGUUGUAUUCCCUAAACAAGGAUAAGGAUUUGAGCACUGUUUGUAGACAAGUGAGCUCCACCUGUGAGUAGAUCGAAGAUGACUGAAUGUGAGUGCCUUUCAGUUCAACUUAGUGGUGGCCUUGAAGCUAAAAGUGACAAUCUUCCGGCUUGUCUUGAGGUCACCUGGUUAUCUGCUUGGGAUGAAUAUGUAACACCCAAAAUGAAUUCAAGACCACCCAGGACCUUCCCCCUUCGAAAAGGACUUUCCAAACUGAACUAGCAGGCAA